rnacentral:misc_RNA from 1 species
AUGUAACCGGACCGGUCCUUUGCCGUAAAACGCACCGGAUUGGAAAGGGAGAUAUCAUACACCCUGUGUUUAUUUACCUUUGUUGCUUUGGCGGGCCGUCCUUUAGGCGUCGGCCCCGGCUGAUCGCGCCCGCCAGAGGACCCAAACUCUUUUAUCAGUGAUGUCUGAGUACUAUAUAAUAGUUA